CCUACGGGUGGCAGCAGUGGGGAAUAUUGGACAAUGGGCGAAAGCCUGAUCCAGCCAUGCCGCGUGUGUGAAGAAGGCCUUCGGGUUGUAAAGCACUUUCAGUGGGGAAGAAAGCCUUGGGGCUAAUACCCUCGAGGAAGGACAUCACCCACAGAAGAAGCACCGGCUAACUCCGUGCCAGCAGCCGCGGUAAUACGGAGGGUGCGAGCGUUAAUCGGAAUUACUGGGCGUAAAGCGCGCGUAGGCGGUCUGAUAAGCCGGUUGUGAAAGCCCCGGGCUCAACCUGGGAACGGCAUCCGGAACUGUCAGGCUAGAGUGUAGGAGAGGAAGGUAGAAUUCCCGGUGUAGCGGUGAAAUGCGUAGAGAUCGGGAGGAAUACCAGUGGCGAAGGCGGUCUUCUGGACUGACACUGACGCUGAGGUGCGAAAGCGUGGGUAGCAAACAGGAUUAGAUACCCGAGUAGUC
rnacentral:rRNA from 1 species